GGGGGCUGAACAGAGCGGGCGGUAGCGCUCGGGAGGCGUGUCGCGUGGCAGGUAGGCGGGGUCCAUGGGCUCAAAGGCUCCCAGCUGCAUGUUCCUCAAAAACUUGCAUAAGACAAGGGGGGUCAGAGCUCAGGUUGGCCAACACUGGCUCCGCCCCUGCUUGGCAUCAGCCGAGAGAGAUAAAUAAAGAAAUCGAUCAGAUGGUGAUCACGGUGCCUACCCGUAGGAACUUCAAGACCAGGCCUCAUAUUCAUCACAACUACAACUUACAAAGGCGAGGCCUUACCAAUUUGGUAUCACGUGAACAGUAAUCCUGCACAUAACAACAUCAAUGUCAUAAUUAGUAUAUGCAAACACCAAGGAUUGCUGUCCAAAGAUUUGAACUAGAAAUUCAGGUCAUUUGGCAUUUAUGAAUGUCUGAAAUUAUAAAACUGCAGCAAUUUAGAAUGA